rnacentral:rRNA from 1 species
UUAAAAUUAUAGCCAAACAAACCUAAACUACCAAAAAACAAAACAAACCAUUUAAUUUAAUAGUAUGGGCGAUAGAAAUUUAUUAUGAGCAAUAAAAAAAGUACCGUAAGGGAAAGAUGAAAUAAAAAUGAAAUAAAUAAUAAAAACAAAAAAAAGAAAAGGCUAAACCCUGUACCUUUUGCAUAAUGGUCUAGCAAGUCCAACCUAACAAAAAGAAAUAAAGUUAGCCACCCCGAAACUAGACGAGCUACUUAAGAGCAGCAUUAACCAGAGCCAACCCGUCUCUGUGGCAAAAGAGUGGGAUGACUUUUGAGUAGAGGUGAAAAGCCUAACGAGCCUAGUGAUAGCUGGUUACUUGAGAAAUGAAUAUUAGUUCAGCUUAAAGCAUCUUUAUUAUUAAAAAAUAAAAAUAGCACUUUAAAGUUAAUUAAUAGGGGUACAGCCCUAUUAAUAAAGGAUACAACCUACAUAAUGAAUAAAGAUUAUAUUAACAAAAGAAAUUAACCGCGUAGGCCUAAAAGCAGCCACCACAAGAAAGCGUCAAAGCUCAACUUAACAACCCCCCUUAUUAUACUAAUAAAAAAUCUAAAUUCACAAAACAUAUCAAGCCCAUCUACUAGUAGAUAAGUUUAUACUAGAAUGAGUAACAAGAACAAAUUCUCUACAUGCAAGCGUAAAUCAGAACGAAAGUAUCACUGAUAAUUAACAACUUUAAAUACCCAACAACAAGAAAAACACAUUAAAACAAUUGUUAACCCAACACAGGAGCAUAAAAAAAGAUUUAAAGAUUAAAAAGGAACUCGGCAACCAUAGAGCUCCGCCUGUUUACCAAAAACACCGCCUCUUGCCCUCCCAAUAUAAGAGGUCCCGCCUGCCCAGUGAUUAAUUUUAACGGCCGCGGUAUCAUGACCGUGCAAAGGUAGCGUAAUCACUUGUCUUUUAAAUAAAGACCUGUAUGAAAGGCAAAACGAAAGCUCAACUGUCUCUUUAAUCUAAUCAGUGAAAUU